CACAGACAACCAGGAUGUUGGCUUAGAAGCAGCCACCAUUGAAAGAGUGCGUAAUAGCUCACUGGUCGAGUGACUCUGCGCCGAAAAUGUAACGGGGCUAAACACGCCACCGAAGCUAUGGCUUGCAUCGCCUUCACUGCGUCUUUGAAUCUCGUGGUUAGCCACGGGACAUUAGCCAGAAUCAACCUUAUUGGUUGUUCAGGAUUCUGGCCAAAUGAUCCCAGCUAAACACGCUGCUUCAAAGCUGGAGUGAAGGUGGUGCAUGGGUAGGGGAGCGUUGUAUGUACGUUGAAUUCUGACCGUAAGGACAGGUGGAGCGCAUACAAGUGAGAAUGCCGGUAUAAGUAACGAAAAGAUCAGUGAGAAUCUGAUCCGCCGAAAACCUAAGGGUUCCUGAGGAAGGCUCGUCCGCUCAGGGUAAGUCGGGACCUAAGGCGAGGCCGAAAGGCGUAGUCGAUGGACAACAGGUGGAAAUUCCUGUACCACCGUAGCCGUUAUGAGC
rnacentral:rRNA from 1 species